AGACAGGUGCUGCAUGGCUGUCGUCAGCUCGUGUCGUGAGAUGUUGGUUAAGUCCCGCAACGAGCGCAACCCUUGUCUUAAUUGCCAGCAUUCAGUUGGGCACUUUAAGAGACUGCCGGUGUUAAGCCGGAGGAAGGUGGGGAUGACGUCAAGUCCUCAUGGCCUUUAUGCCCAGGGCUACACACGUGCUACAAUGGGUGGUACAAAGAGAUGCCAACUCGCGAGAGCGCGCCAAUCUCAGAAAGCCAUCCUCAGUUCGGAUUGGAGUCUGCAACUCGACUCCAUGAAGUUGGAAUCGCUAGUAAUCGCGGAUCAGCACGCCGCGGUGAAUACGUUCCCGGGCCUU
rnacentral:rRNA from 1 species